GAUGAACGCUGGCGGCGUGCUUAACACAUGCAAGUCGAACGGAAAGGCCCAAGCUUGCUUGGGUACUCGAGUGGCGAACGGGUGAGUAACACGUGGGGGAUCUGCCCUUCACUUCGGGAUAAGCCUGGGAAACUGGGUCUAAUACCGGAUAGGACCACAUGUUGGAUGGUGUGGUGUAAAGAUUUUCGGUGUUGGAUGAACUCGCGGACUGUCAGCUUGUUGGUGGGGUAAUGGCCUACCCAGGCGUAGACGGGGAGCCGGCACAGUAGGGUGUACGCACAGACUGGAAUCCGGCGGGGGGCAAGAGUAGGGAGGGAGGCAGAAGUGGGGAAUAUUGGACAGAGGGAGGACGCCUGAUGCAGGAAGGCCGUGUGGGGGAUGACGGCUUUUGGGUUGUAAAAUCCUAUGGCUAGGGACCAAGGGUUUUUGUGACGGUACCUGGAGAAGAAGCCACGGCUAACUACGUG
rnacentral:rRNA from 1 species